CUGUCCUUGUGUCCAUCAAGAACCAAUGGUUUAGCAACACAACGGGAGGGAUCAAAAGAAGGGGCCCUCCACAGCAUGAUCCUUUUUUCUUUUGGAAAGUUGCCGUAUUAACGUGGCCACUAAUAAGUUGUGGGUUUUAUCAUCAUCUAUCAAUUAUUUGGAUUUUUGGACACGAGAGAGUGCAUAAAUAGGAAACAUGUUAGCUUCGUGUUGAAAUAUUGUGCAUGACCGAUCCCCUAGUACUAACGACAUCAUAUCUGAUUCUUCCAGAUUCGUUGUUCACCCUUCAAUUCUGUCUGUCACCUUCUACUCGUGCUGCGCCACCGUCCAGAUAUAUAAUUUCUCCAGACCAGAUAUCACGCUGCUGUUGAAAGCAUGGCGUAAGAAUCUGUGUCCUUGUUAAACUCAGUGUAUAGAAUGGCAGGGAGUAGUUGCUUGACCUCAUCAUUACAAGAGAAUUGGAGAGACGAAGUCUAGCGCUAGCAAGCAUCAGAAGGAGAUCAAGACCCAAUCUGGAAGACCUUGGGCAGUAGAAAAGUCAGAUCAGCAGGAUCAGCAAGUUUGAAGUCUGGGCUGAUGAUAAAAAAAAAGGUUUUAGAAUUUUCAUCAGUGCCAAGCCCAAAGUUGCUUGUUGUCAAUCAUAGCUGAAAAGCAACCAACAAAAGCCUGGUUGUAAAGCCCACAUCUGACAUCCAUAGCUUUCAGUAUCAUCUAUUAAUGUCAAUACCCUCGUGUUGGUUUAGCUAGUAAACUAGCAUAGUGACCGUGUGUUUUCCCGGUAAUUUUUAAAUUUUUUAUUAUUUUAUUAUCUGAUAAUUUAAAUAAAUAUUCAUAAAAAAAUUAAUUAUAAUUUUAGGGGGAAAAUGUACCAUUUCAGUGCAAAUUAUCUUUUCUCAUUCAUGUAUUUUUUAUUUUAAAAAUAACAAUUUUAU